UCCGUAGGUGAACCUGCGGAAGGAUCAUUACCGAGUGAGGGCCCUCUGGGUCCAACCUCCCACCCGUGUCUAUCGUACCUUGUUGCUUCGGCGGGCCCGCCGUUUCGACGGCCGCCGGGGAGGCCCUGCGCCCCCGGGCCCGCGCCCGCCGAAGACCCCAACAUGAACGCUGUUCUGAAAGUAUGCAGUCUGAGUUGAUUAUCGUAAUCAGUUAAAACUUUCAACAACGGAUCUCUUGGUUCCGGCAUCGAUGAAGAACGCAGCGAAAUGCGAUAAGUAAUGUGAAUUGCAGAAUUCAGUGAAUCAUCGAGUCUUUGAACGCACAUUGCGCCCCCUGGUAUUCCGGGGGGCAUGCCUGUCCGAGCGUCAUUGCUGCCCUCAAGCACGGCUUGUGUGUUGGGCCCCCGUCCCCCUCUCCCGGGGGACGGGCCCGAAAGGCAGCGGCGGCACCGCGUCCGGUCCUCGAGCGUAUGGGGCUUUGUCACCUGCUCUGUAGGCCCGGCCGGCGCCAGCCGACACCCAACUUUAUUUUUCUAAGGUUGACCUCGGAUCAGGUAGGGAUACCCGCUGAACUUAAGCAUAUCAAUAAGCGGAGGA
rnacentral:rRNA from 1 species